rnacentral:lncRNA from 1 species
ACUUUCAUCAAACACUUCUCUGCUACAGGCUAUUUUCUUCUAUUAAGUAUUUUGUCUGUUUGUUUUUAAUAAAGGACAAUGUUGGAAGAUUUUAUGGGAAAAGACCGUAUUAUUUUUAGAAAAUACAAAGCUUCAAGUUGUUCAGCUGCAUAACUGGGAAGUUCUCCCUAUCAGGAUGAGGCACUUUUAUAACUUUAGAAAGAGAGAGAUGGUUGUGAUUACACAGACAUCUGCACUGUUUAAUUUCAGCUUCCUCCCCCAGGAUUUAGAAAAAAAGCAAAAAGAAAGAAUUCACGUAAAACACUGAAACAGGAACAGGUCAGAAACAUCUGUGGCUGGAAUAAUUUUGGUUGCACAAAUGAGGCCAUGAGAGAUAGUCUUUGUCUCUCCUGCUGGUAUAUUACUCAGAUUUUAUAGUACCAAAUGCAGCAAAUGACAGAAAGAUAAAACAGAGAAGUAUUUGCUAUUUUUGACCCUUUCCAGAAUGGUUUCAGUACACUAUUGAGGUUUGUUUGCAGGGAAUGGGCUGCACAGAUAGAUUUCAGUGGGUAACUAAAAAUUGAAAUAGAAAGUGAGAAAGUGGAACUAGAAAAUAUAGACUUCAUCUUCCAAAAGCUUAUCUAAGUGUCAGAAUAAUUUUUUAUUUUGUGUUUAUUUAUUUAUUUAUUUUUUGAGACAAAGUCUUGCUCUGUCACCCAGGCUGGAUUCCAGCGGCACGAUUUUGGCCCACUGCAACAUCCGCCUCCCAGGUUCAAAUGAUUCUCCUACCUCAGCCUCCCGAGUAGCUGGAAUUACAGGCGCCCGCCACCACACCUGGCUAACUUUUGUAUUCUUUAGUAGAGACGGGGUUUCACCAUGUUGGCCAGGCUGGUCUCGAACUCCUGACCUCAGGUGAUCUGCCUGCCUCGGCCUCCCAAAGUGCUGGGAUUAGAGGCAUGAGCCACUGCACACUGCCAAGAAUAAUUUUUUAAAAAGGAAAAUCAUAACUCUCAUAGAAAUAAAGAGAAGACAUGUUAAAGAUUAUUAUUGUAUAUUAUUUAGUGAGGGAAUUGCAAAGAUGGUGCAACGGAUUUGAAAUCAGAGAACCAUACAUUUAUAUAUUGUAAAGGAAUGUUGAAAGGAAUUUAAUAAACGACUGCAAAACUGGCUUUUUCCAUGGAAAUGGUUAGGGUGGGGAAGAGAAUGGUUGUCUGCCCACUAGACAGAGUUAUUCACAUGUUUAUAGACAAUAAUUAUGCAAAUAGCAAGGUUAUAGAUAGGCAAGGAAGUGAAGCCAAGAAACUCCAUUGGAGGUCACCUGUGGUACUUACAAAUUUGAGUUAAUUCUGGCCAGGCGUGGUGACUCAUGCCUGUAAUCCCAUCACUUUGGGAGGCUGAGGCAAGUGGAUCACUUGAGGUCAGGAGUUCGACACCAGCCUGGCCAACAUGGUGAAACCCCGUCUCUGCUAAAAAAAUAUAUAUAAAAAUUAGCCAGGCAUGGUGG